rnacentral:misc_RNA from 1 species
GAUGAAGAACGCAGCGAAAGGCGAUAAGUAGUGUGAAUUUCAGAAUUCAGUGAAUCAUCGAAUCUUUGAACGCACAUUGCGCCCUUUGGUAUUCCUUAGGGCAUGCCUGUUCGAGCGUCAUUUAAACCUUCAAGCUCAGCUUGGUGUUGGGUGACUGUCCGCUUCACCGCGGACUCGCCUCAAAAUUAUUGGCGGCCGGUACAUUGGCUUCGAGCGCAGCAGAAACGCGAACUCGGGCCCGUCGUAUUGGCUCCCAGAAGCUAUCUUCACAAUUUUGACCUCGGAUCAGGUAGGGAUACCCGCUGAACUUAAGCAUAUCAUAAGCGGAGGA